UUUGUUCACCACCAAUUAGAGGAGGCUUCUGGCCCCUGGGAAUUUGCAUGAUGCAGUGCCCUCAUAUUUGGAUAUUUAACCAGCUCUGAUUCUUGCUUCUUUUGGUGCUCAUCUUGGAAAUUCAUCAUGGAAAAAAUGGGAAAAAACCUUGGGCCAUUUCCAAAAGCCUUGGUCCUGGUUCCUCCAAAAAACAUUUCUUACCAGACCCAAUCAGUGCUGAUACCAUGUCCACCACAUCGGAUUGCACCAUUGUCAGUAUUUGGUGAAUCUGACCAUAAGACUGAGGCUAAGCGGUUGGUUUGCUUAAAACAACAAGUCGUCACACGCAAGCCCAAUUCUCAUCACCAGGAUGUAUCCCCAGAAUUAUCUGAGACUUACAAUCAGGAUAAAGCUUUGUCUAGCAAGAAUACGGAGAACUCAGAAAAAUUAUGCCCACAAAACUACUCUGAAAACAACUUGGGCUUAUUCUUCAGGAAUAAAAUGCCAUACACUUUUAGAGCUCCACACGCUAAACGUCGCAAGAUCAAGAUCUCCACAUCCAUAAAGUCUGGCGGCACUAAGGACCAGGUCACAGAAGAACCAAAAAAUGCCAGUCACAAGGCUACAACUGGGCCAAAUCCCAGUGCCUCGGGGGCAGAGAAGGCAGCACCCCAAGUACACAGCAAAAAAACCAACAAGGGCACCAUUAAAAGAGCACGCGGUCCUGAUCCUUGCUCCAAAGACACUUCUAGUAGUAAGAAUAAGCAAUUAGUUCAGAUUCCAGUAGGUAGUCGCCAAAUUUGGGAGGAAUUAUGUCACCAGGGUAAAGAUCAUUUAGGCUCAAACAAGCAAGCCAGAUUCGAAGUUAUUUGCCCACAUCAUACUAGAAUUCAUUUCAUCCCUGAUGACCAGACCACAUAUAUACUCAAAAGACACCUAAAGGUACCAUCAUCAGCCCCUGAAAAUGAAGCACAAAAACAAUGGGAAAAUUUUUCUCAUGAUUAUAAGCACCAAAUCAUUCCAGUGUACCAUCAACAGCAGGCACAGGCAGCUCUGGACUUUGUCUCUAGGACCUUAGUACCACUCUACCAAAGAGCUAUAAAAUGUGAGGAAUCCAUAAACAAGGCUAUAAGAAGACAAUUAAAUAAAAACAACUGGGAGAACUUUUUCCAGUGCCAUGAUCACCAUCUUGCAAUUCCGCUGUGUCGUCAAAAUCAGGCACGAGCCGCCUUGGACCUUUUCUCUGAGGUUUCACUUCCACGAAACCACAUACACCUAAAAUCUGCAGGACCCCGCUUUGUGAGAAAGUCUGCUAAAAAGUUAAACAAGAGAAGCUGGACAAAAUGUCCUUGUGACUACGAUCACCAUGUCACAAUUCCACUGUGUCACCUGCACCAGGUUCAGGACCUCAUCCCAAGGAUAUUACUCCCACCAGACCACAUACACACAAAAUAUGAGGCGCCCUUGAACAUGAUCUUUGAGUGUCAAAGAAAAUGUCAUCCCUUUACCAGGCCUCUGCCUGGUCCUCUCUAUUCAUCCAGGCCUCUGCUGAUAAAGGCUCUACCCAUCCCUGAUUGUUGGACCCCAGAGACUCUACCGAUUUCUGAGCGUCACUCAAAGACUCCAUUUCAUCUCAGUAUCCAAGACAUACCAGCACCUCAAAAACUUACUUUAAAUUUAACCAAGGUUCCAAAAUGCCAUCACUAUCAGGCUAAGUCUUCACGAGUCUCUGACUACCAACCUGGGUACCAAUACAAGAUCCAGCCUGAGCAGAGUAGAGGCAGAGCCAGAUCCUGCCUCCCGGCCUCCUGUGAAACGCAAGGUUACUUGGCUUGAUCUCAUCCAUGGCAAAUCUGACCAGCCAAAGGAGAAGAAGACCUAUCCAAGUCAAAAGCCAUUUUGGAAAGAGAGACCUUUCUCAAACAAGAACGCCCAAGAAGAGACAUCAAGGAGGCAAAAGAUAUGUUCCAUGUCUUUGUUAGAUAAAUUUGAAAGUAGGAUAAACAGUUAAAAUACAAUCUUUUCUUUUGUAUAUCAAUCGAACCCUUGUAUAUGUCUCUUGAGCUUGGUCCUGAGCAUGUAUGUGUCUUACAUGCUAUUUUAAACAGGAACUCACCAGGCCUUUCUUUUCCUUGGAGUUAGUAAGGGAAAUGAGUUAUGAUCCUCUUAGUCCACAAGUAUUUAUUUAUUAUUUAUUUAUUUUUUAACCCUCACCUUCCAUCUUGGAGGCAAUACUGUGGAUUGGCUCCAAGGCAGAAGCGUGGUAAGGGCUAGGCAAUGGGGGUCGAGUGACUUGCUCAGGGUCAUCCAGCUGGGAAGUGUCUCCACAAGUAUUUAUUAAUGCAUGCUCUCUGUCAGACCCUGGGCUAAAUAUGGCAAUACAAAGUCAGUAAUCGGCAUUUAUUAAAUACUAUGUUCAAGAUACCAUGUUAAGCAAUGGAAAUUUAAAAAGGCAAAAAAGCAGCCCCUGCUCUCAAAGAGCUCAUAGUCUAAUAGAGGAGACAAGCUAACAACUAUGUACUAACGAUUAUAUUAAUAUAAAUAUAUGUAUGUGGGAUAAAUUGGGGGCAGGCUCAAAAGAAGGAACUAAGAUUGGGGACUAGCAGAAAAGAUUUCUUGCACAAUGGCAGUUGAAUGUCAUUUUGUUCCAGUAUUAACAUAAACUGCCAGUGGUAAGUCUGGAAAAAAAAACCCACAUAUGCAGUGAAUAAUACAUAAUUAACAUGGAAAGAUGAGUGGAGUAAGAUUGUCCAUGACUUUAAAUACAAAAUAGGAGAGUUUGAGGUCUAUCCCAGUUACCUGGAAGCCACCAUCCUGAAAACAACAGAAAACUCAGUUGUACUUUGCCAAAAAGCAUUUAUUAAGUACCUACUAUGUGCCAAGCACUGUCCUAAAUGCUAUAGAAAUGAAGGCGAAAAAAAAUCAAUUCCUCUUCUGAAGGAUCUCAUUAUCUUGCAUAAAACUAGAUACAAAAUGGUGCCUAUUCCCUGAAAAAUAGUUGCACAAAUUAGAGUAUGUAGUAGAAUACUAUUGUGCCAUCAGAAAUUAUGAAUUAUGAAGAAUCCAUAGAAACAUAACCCUUACAACUAAUGGCUCAGGGCCCUUCUUGAUCUGGGAUCAUAUUGGCUAGUACAGUCUUAAUGAAACUGAUGUCUUAAACCAUAAAUGUAUCUAUUUCCUCAUUGUUCCUCAUGGAGUUUAAAAUAAAUCUCCAAAUAUAACACA
rnacentral:lncRNA from 1 species